GACGGAGGAUGCAAGCGUUAUCCGGAAUGAUUGGGCGUAAAGCGUCCGCAGGUGGCAGUUCAAGUCUGCUGUCAAAGACCGGGGCUUAACUUCGGAAAGGCAGUGGAAACUGAACAGCUAGAGUAUGGUAGGGGCAGAGGGAAUUCCUGGUGUAGCGGUGAAAUGCGUAGAUAUCAGGAAGAACAUCGGUGGCGAAGGCGGCACGCUGGACCCCUUCUGACGCUGAGGCGCGAAAGCCAGGGGAGCGAACGGG
rnacentral:rRNA from 1 species